rnacentral:lncRNA from 1 species
GACUUGGACUUUGAGGAAAAUGAGAAACCAUUGGCCAGUUUGGGGUAUUGGGAGAAGGAGAGGCUGUCAACCCAUGCCACUAUGCUAUCUCUAAUUCUGCCAUCCAGACCGAGCAAACGUACUUAAGACCUUUGUGUAAGAUCAGAAAAUCAUAAGACAGCAUUAAAAAGUACUAUACAGGAGGAGAUGGAACAAGAUGGCCAAAUAGAAGCCUCCAGCAAUCAUCUCCCCGAAAGGAAUUGAACAACUAUCAAAACAAAAUUGAACAACUAUCUAAACAAAAAAGUACCUUCAUAAAAAACAAAAAUCAGGACAAUAUCAGAACGGCACAUACAAGUGUCCCCAAGUCAUAUUUGGAAUAAGAUCACUUGGGAACACAAGUCAAAGAAGGACACAGUGUUCUGCCUCUCCUGAGUAAGCAGCAACAACGCACCAUCUUGGAAUCAGGGGACGGCCCUCACCAGACAACUAAAUCUGCAGACACCUUGGACUUCCCAGCCUCCAGAACUGUCUUUCUGGCAACUGUCUAAA